CCCAUUUCCAACCGGAAUUUGAAAUCCCGCGUCAUUUCUGAACUGGCCAAUCAGAAAUCGGGACAAUAGUCAGCCAUUGCUGUUUACCUGUGUCGCGUGAUAUCGGGGUGGUGUAAUUUUCCUGGUCUGCCUGUGUUGGGAUGUUUAUUGGACACCGGGAAGCAUGUUUUGAUAGUAAUUAUUCGGGAAGACGGAUUUCAAAUUGAUAUAUCCUUUACACAAACGUGAAUGACAACGAUGAUAGUGUCACCACCAAACAAUCGGACAUACUCGAUUUUUGCCUCUCACUGACAGCAUCCAAAAUAUGCAAUUAGGUAUGUCAAAUAUAUUUUUUCCCCAACUAUAAUAAUAUAGGCUAUCCGAAUCUAUUUGUCUAUAGCAAUGUAAUAUAUAGUCUAUAUAGUGUAGUAUUCAAUACCAGACUUUGUAAUGCGUAAUUCACACAAGUCUGUACUGAAUUUCAUAUUAGCAAGUAGCCUUAAUUUACAAGUAAAAAUAUAUAUUUUAAUGUGUUUUUUCCCCUGGUAAUUAUUUCAGAUGUCUUGGGUGAAAAAGUUUUGUUCACAAUAAAAUAAUUAUGUAUAUAUCUUUCAAAGUGUUUUUAAUUUUUUUUUUUUUUUUUUUUUUUUAUAGUUUUGUUAAAGUUAAUGGUCAAACACACUUGAUGUUGUGUUAAUAUAUGAUACAUGUACAAUGAUUAGAUUGAUAUUAUUUGAAUAGACAAAUACUUAUUUUCAUGGUAAAAUGUCAUGAAUUUAGAGCUUUGAAAAAAGGGCGUCGCGUGCAAAAUCCCCCAUGCGGAUUUUUAAAAGUUGGCAUGUAUGCUUGGUACAUCAUUAUUAUAAAGUGUUGUGUGUAUGUAAUAGCAUCAAACAAUGAACAGUCUUUAUUUCACCUUUAUUGAGGAGUCCAUUUUAUUUACACACAAUAAAAGAUAUAUGCAUGCUAGGUAUAUAUAUUAUCGUAGCUAGCCACGGUUAACUGAAUCCGAUAGUACCUACCCAGCUACCUCAAACCGUAGCUGCCAUGAUCAGCAAAACCCUCGAUUUUCAUGAAUGUUUAUAAAAUGAUGCAAUAAUAUAUUUGACCAAUCACAUUUACAAUAACAGAUUUCCAAUAUUUUAAUGUCUGCGCCCACACCUAAAACGUGCGGUAUUUGUUUAUAAGUAAAACGGACAAAACGCUAGGCUACAGAUUCCUGUUUAUAGUAGCAAGUAAAGUUUAUAAGUAUUUAUCAAAUGAAAUUCACAUUAACAGCAGUGGUUAUAUAUAUGCAUGUAAAUUUUGUGUUAAUAAAUUUAAUUGUAUUCUCAAACUUGAUGAGGAAAUUCUGGGUAAAGUGGAUUUGUUGAAAUCUGAAAGACUAUAGUUGAUCAGGCAAUUAUCUAUAAGAGAAAGCAUAUUGUAUGGUAAAUUUAUUACACUGAUUAAGUCAACAAAGAAGCAACAGCAACAAUUAGUUACAACAGCUAAAAAGUGUCCUGUUUGUUCUCACUCAACAAUCCUCGAAUUAUUCCGCUACGAGCAUGCAAUGACCUCCGAAUGAUUUUCUUUCCACCAAAAAAAAUCAUGGAAGCUCACAGAUUGGUUGACUUAUGAACAUAAAUUCAUAUUCAUGAAGUCAAGGAUUUUUUUUAUCAUACAGCCACAGCAUUUGAUGUAGUGUAAAUGGAGAAAAUAGGUGUGGUUUGCGAUGAUGGGUAUAUACAUAAUCCGGUUAUUCCAGAUUCAUAAUUUAAAGUUGAGUUAUUUUCAACUGAUGGUACAUUGUUCCUCGAGGUUUUGAAUGGUCUGGAGUACUUUGGGAGAUCACGGUAACCACACCAGAUCAUUACAAUAUCAUUAAUUAUUAUGGAAGAGAUCUUAUACUGAAUUGCUGCGCAAAUCAAAUGAAUUGAUGACAUUUUUCACAUAACUAUCAGUCUAUGCGAAAGACAUCGGACCGUCGGACCUGACCGAUGUGCAGUGCCUCAGGUCCGAUGUGUCAUUUUUUUACACCGGACCGGAAUGUCCGAUGUCUCAGUAUCCGGUUUUAAGCUUUAUUAUUUUGACGCGGAGUCAUUUAAGAGGCCGUCCACGGAGAUAUCAGGCAGUAGCUAUAAUACGGCUGGCACAUGCAAUUCCCCAAAAUUUUAUUUAUACCCAAUAAAAGUUAAGGUCAUACGCCAAUUUUAUUGUAUGUAAAGUGAAUUUCACAAAAAACAUUGUUAGAUGCCAAAACUUGGCCUAUUUCAUAAAUUCGAGGACACUAUAUAAUCUAUAGAAAAUGAUCAUUUUGUAAAGUUAAAUAAUACCCAAUACAAUAAAAUUUGUCCAGAAAGUAUAAACAAUAUUUGAAGGAAAUUCCUUAAUAAUUAAGAUGAAACAAUAAAAUUGCUGGGAAACAAUGCUGUUGUUGAGCAAUUACUGACAGAAGUAGCCAAAAAGCCAGUAAUUUGAGUUACCUCCCUUGGCGUAAAAAAUGUAAAAUGAUCCGAAACUUGCAUAAAUUGUAAUUUUCGAAGAAAACAGUAUUUAUUUAGAACAUUUUUCACUUAUCUUGAUUUUUUUUAUCAAGUGUAAACAUGGAAUUAAUUUUUUUUUAAAUUUGAUGGUGAAAAAUAAAUAUUCAGCCCGGACCUUAUCAAAGUUUCGUGGGUAAACAGAUAUGGCUGACAAGUGAUAGAAACGUGAAGUUUUUCUAGGAGUGGUCCUUAUUUUAGGGACUUGUCAAUCCUUAAUAAUUGUUCAAAAGACAUAAGUGGAUAUUCAAGAUAUUUUAAAGUUGGAACUGCGUGUAAUAUUCAACCGAGAUUGACCCCCUGCUGUACAGAUCGGGGUACUUCGAAUUCGACGUAAAAGUUUAACUGUUUAAACUAUCGUGCACGGUGCAGAUGCUUACUAGUAUGCCGAGGUCAUUGCGAUUCUUUUGGGAUUUACUGGAGGCAACCACCACCAAAUGUUGUUAUCUACUACACAAAGGAAAGUGUAAAGCAGACAGAGCAGUAAACUUCAAUGUUUCAAGGGAAAUAUUUGUUCCCGUUGGAAGUGGUAAGUAUAAAUGUCGAAUUUUCUCUGUUAUUUUUCUUUGAAAACUGUCUUUGAUUGCUAGACAAUUUUGAUGCAAGUUCUCAUGAUGUGUCAAUGCAAACAAUUCAUUUGAUGAAAUGAUUCUUUUUAAAAUAAUAAUGAUUAAAAUGAUAAAUCCCCACAGUAAAAAAACUAUUAAAUCAAUCUGGGGGGUGUUGGGGGGUGGGGGGGUGUUAAUGUAGGGAUUUUUAAAAUCUGUACUACAACACAAUGUUUAUUCACAAAUCAUUGAAUUAAGAAACAAUAGAAUCACACAAAAACAAGAUGAAAGUGGUGAAAAGUGUUUAUUGUCCUGCAUAAAAAAUAAUAUAUAUUAAAAUUAUAUCAGAUUAUUUUUGACUGAUUUUUUUUUACUAGCUACUUUUCACAUGUGUUUGUUUUUUGGAUUCCUAGAUUUAAUAACUAUUAAAGGAUGAAUGAAUCAGUGUGAGAGGGUAGUAUAUGUACAUGUAUGUAUGUGACUAAAACCGAAUAAUAAAUAUAAAAAAAAUAAUGAUAUAUAUUUAUUCAUGUAAUUAUGUAACUAUAAGAACCAUUAUGUGUGUGGGGGUGGGGUGUGUGUUACAGGUUGAUGUAUAUCAUUAAUUUCUCUAAAUUUAAGCUGAAUGGAUUAUAAAAUUCAGAUGGUUUAACAUGACACAAAAUCUGAUGAUUUAUUUGCAUGCACACAGGUACUAAAGUGUAUUAGUGUGACAUACAUGUAUAUACCAAUUACCAAAGCUCGAUAAUGAAUACAACGCCCAUUUCAUUACAGAUUUGGAAAAUAGUUAUAGUCAAAUCACCCCUACUGCAAGCCAAUUAUCAGACUGUAUCAGUGAGUAUAUUUAUUUAUUUCAAUCAAAAGAUUUUAAAUUCAGAACAUGGUACAUCUGACCUUGUCAUAUUGUCAUAAUUCAUAAAUUAUGUAAGUUUAGAACUAUUACAGAUAUGAGCUUAAUUCCACAUUUGACAUGUAUAUUUCUUGAGACAAAUCCUGACCAAAGGCAUCCAAUGUUAUGAUGUCACAAUCCUUUUGUUUUAACUCACUUGACAGACAUACAUGUAGAAUAUAAAAACUUUAACUUUGACAAUAACAUAAGAAUGGUUAGAGAUGGGGGUUGGAUAUUUCAGAAAUGUGUGUUCCUUCAUGUCAUAUGAUAGUAACAUUUUUACCUUACGACCUUGACCCUUCAUAUUGAAGUUUUAUGUGAUGUCACCAUGCCACACACAACACAUACAUGCAUUUUUAAUUCAUGACUGUUAUCAAAGAUUUUAACCCACUCGACAAGUUUUAAACUCUCUUCAGACAAUUCUUGUUUAGAUAAUUUCAAAUACUAGCUCGUAUAUAUAUACAUAUAUAUAUAAGUCAGAGGUGAUGUUUUGAAAUCAGAAUGUGGUUUAAUUUUUGAAUAUGAAUAUAUAUAGUUUUUUUUUAUUUUUUAGCUCACCUGAGCUGAAGGCUAAAGAAUUAGGGUAUGAAGGCGAUCAAAGUAUGAUGUGGGAAUAUACAGGAAAUUAAAACAAAUUCUUUUCAAGAUCUCAGCUGAGUCCAAGAUAGGAAGAGGCUUUGGAGAGAACACAGAAUUACUACAGACAAAAGACUUGUGAAGUUAUAAGGGGAAUUGCAGAACUCAUAGCUCCACUUCAAUCUAGAUAUGUUGACAGUUAUUUCACAGAAACACUUUGCAGCUGACAAAGAUAAUCAAAUGAUGACCACUACUUUAACUCUAUGGUUGCAGCAUAUUUCAAUUUUUGAAGUGACAAAUUUUAUUCCUGUUUGUGAACCAAUAUUCAAAAGAAACACUGCUAUGGCAUUAGACAUAAAUUAGAAGAGAGUGGUGGGGUGGCAAAAUAAGAUUCCAUACUGUGAAAUGUAUCAAUUGUUAAUAUACAUGUAUCAAUAUAAAUUCAGUGCCAAUUUUCAUAAUUUCUAGGGGAAAAGUUUGUAACAAAUGUCAGAAAUAUGCACUAGCUCUUACUUUGCAAACCAUGCUACUAAGUACCAGGCAUUAAGACAUGAUUUGUUUAUUGUCAUUUGUUAAACAGAGACAGAGACAGUGAUUUGAAGGGGGGGGGGGGGGGGGGGGGGGGUCCAGAAAAAUGAUCUAAAAUCUGCAUUAGGUCAUAUCCGAUGAAUUGAUAAAGUAAAUAUGUUUAUUAUUGAUUGCUAGUUACAUGUAACCUUUUAUGCAUCAGUUGAAGAUACUUUAUGAACAUUUUCUGUCACUGGGUAAAAUUCAACAAACAUUUUGUGUAUCUGGAAGUGGUCAAUAUAUAUUUCAACAUCAGAGUAAACAUGCAUUAAAGCAAGUCUGCCAAUCUGAUGUAGGCAGAAAAUGGAAUAUGGCAUGUUAUUUCAUGAAUGCAAAGGGAAAUGCUUUACAAGAGAGUCAAAAAAUUUCUGGUUAAUGCUAAAUAACUAUCUAGAUGUCCCAGAGAAAAGGAGAGGGUGUUUUCUACCCCUCCACCCCAACCCCCUCGGGAUCUGCCAAUGUCAAGUUUGUAAUGUGAGUGAAUGAAUUUAGAUUCUUCAUGAUAGGCAAUUUAUUAAAAUUUGAUUUACUGAUAAUUUUAACUUCAUAUAUGUGUGUUAAUUAAUUGACUAUUAUCUCAAAUCCUGUGUCAGAAAUGACCUCUAAAAAUCAACAUUGUAAAAUUUUAUACAAUGAAUUACAUAGGCAUUUUUUGGCCUUUAUUAUAUAGAAUGUAUACAAAGACAUGAAAUUUAUUUCUGAAUGUUCAUAUGUUCUAGUAAUUUUUCAUGAAUUUUAAUCAUUUAAUCAUUGAUUUGUUAUAUCUACUUCAUAUUUAUUUCUAUUUAUGUAGUUCAACAAUCUUCAUUUAAGUAGUUGACCUUUUUGCACUUAUUGAAAAUUUUGAGAUUUCAGUUCAACUUUUCACCAUCAAACCUUGCUUUUCCCACUGAAUUUAUUUUUGUAACUUGAAAUACACCUCUUCAAGUUUCUGGUUAUACAUAAUCUAUUUCUUUUGAGACAUUGUAUUGGGUUUUGUGAGAUCUUAUAUUUUGAUCAUUAUUUUGUAAAAUAUAUUGGUGUGAAAUAUGUGCAAUUUUAACAAUUAAUAAAUUCAUUCAUUGGAUGAAUAUACACACAAAAA